rnacentral:lncRNA from 1 species
GGCACUCUGUUAAGUGCUGGGGAUGACAAAGACAUAAAGGAAACAGCCCCGGCUUUCAGGAAGCUUUCAUGAAGACCAAAAGACCUGAGAUGGAACGUAGGUGUCCCUCUCUGCCAGUGAUUCUUCCUAAGAUCUCGGGUUUAUUUUGAGGAAAGUGUUUUCUCAUCUGUAAAUAAGAACUACUUCUACUUCUACUCUUGGAAGUCAACACAUCCCUCCACUGUUGGUGACAGGGACCAGGCUGCUUGCAAUAUGUCCACAAUGAAAGGAACAGCUCUGGGAAGUCCUAGCAUCUGGUUCCUUUGAGGUUUGGGUUCUUGGCCCAGCAUGCUGGUGAAAGAGGUGGUGAAGGUCUCUCACGUUGCUUGGAGGUUAGAACUUUUAUGGCCCUAAAGAGAAUUUCACUCAAAGAAAAGCCCAUUAGUUCUUGCCAAUGAGCCUAGGACUAUCUCAUCUGGAAAUUUCAUAAGGCCAUAGAUUGAGACUUGGAAGGAACUUUAGAAACCAUCUCGUUCAACCUGAUUAUUUUAUUGAUGAAUCUGAUGAAUCAAUCAUAUUGCUGAAUCAUAUAGAGGUUAAGGAAUUUGCUUAAAUCACAGAGGUAGUAAAUAACAGAGGCAAUCAAUUGAGAGACAGCUAUACUAAACUUGGAGUCAGAAAAGACCCAGAUCCAAAUCCCCACUCUGAUACUUACUAGGUGUAUGUGAAUCUGGGGGAACCAGAAGUUUCUGGCUCAGUUUCUUCAUUUGCAAGGUAGGAUAAUAAUACACAUGGGAUGUAUUUCAAGGAUUGUUUUGAGACUCAAACAAACAAAUAUAUAUUAAAAUUAUAUAUAAUGAAUACUAAUAACUAAUAUAUUAUUAAUUUUGAUGUAUUUUGAAGAUUGAAGAACU